rnacentral:rRNA from 1 species
CAAUAGCGUAUAUUUAAGUUGUUGCAGUUAAAAAGCUCGUAGUUGGAUUUCGGUUAAGAGCGACCGGUCCGCCGUUUGGUGUGCACUGGUUGGUUUUAACUUCCUGUAGAGGACGUGCUCUGGGUUUAACGACCUGGACUCGGAGUCUACGUGGUUACUUUGAAAAAAUUAGAGUGUUCAAAGCGGGCUUACGCUUGAAUAUUUCAGCAUGGAAUAACACUAUAGGACUCCUGUCCUAUUUCGUUGGUCUCGGGACGGGAGUGAUGAUUAAGAGGAACAGUUGGGGGCAUUCGUAUUUCAUUGUCAGAGGUGAAAUUCUUGGAUUUAUGAAAGACGAACUUCUGCGAAAGCAUUUGCCAAGGAUGUUUUCAUUAA